rnacentral:rRNA from 1 species
GUCCACACCGUAAACGAUGGAUACUAGGUGUUCGGAACUUCGGUUCUGAGUGCCCAAGGGAAACCGAUAAGUAUCCCACCUGGGGAGUACGUCCGCAAGGAUGAAACUCAAAGGAAUUGACGGGGGCCCGCACAAGCGGUGGAGCAUGUGGUUUAAUUCGAUGAUACGCGAGAAACCUUACCUGGGCUAGAAUGCCCCCUGACAGGCCGUGAAAGCGGUUUUUCCUCGGGACAGGGUGCAAGGUGCUGCAUGGUUGUCGU